rnacentral:rRNA from 1 species
AUUGAACGCUGGCGGCAGGCCUAACACAUGCAAGUCGAACGAGUGGCGGACGGGUGAGGAAUGUCUGGGAAACUGCCUGAUGGAGGGGGAUAACUACUGGAAACGGUAGCUAAUACCGCAUACCAUCAGAUGUGCCCAGAUGGGAUUAGCUUUUUGGUGGGGUAACGGCUCACCAAGGCGACGAUCCAUAGCUGGUCUGAGAGGAUGACCAGCCACACUGGAUCUGAGACACGGUCCAAGUUCCUACGGGAGGCAGCAGUUGGGAAUAUUGCACAAUGGGCGCAAGCCUGAUGCAGCCAUGCCGCGUGUAUGAAGAAGGCCUUCGGGUUGUAAAUUACUGUCAGCGGGGAGGCGUUACCCACAGUAGAAGCACCGGCUGACUCCGUGCCAGCAGCCGCGGUAAUUC